GAUGAACGCUAGCGGGAGGCCUAAUACAUGCAAGUCGAACGGUAACAGGUAGCAAUACGCUGACGAGUGGCGCACGGGUGAGUAACACGUACACAAUCUGCCUAUAACUGGGGCAUAACUUCGGGAAACUGAAGCUAAUUCCCCAUAACACUGUAGAAAGGCAUCUUUCAGCAGUUAAAGCCCAGGCGGUUAUAGAUGAGUGUGCGUUUGAUUAGCUAGUUGGUGAGGUAAUGGCUCACCAAGGCUACGAUCAAUAACUGGUCUGAGAGGAUGAUCAGUCACACGGGCACUGAGACACGGGCCCGACUCCUACGGGAGGCAGCAGUAGGGAAUAUUGGACAAUGGAGGCAACUCUGAUCCAGCCAUCCCGCGUGAAGGAUUAAGGCCCUAUGGGUUGUAAACUUCUUUUCUCUGGGAAUAAAAACUGGGAUUCUUCUUAGCUUGAAGGUACCAGAGGAAUAAGCACCGGCUAACUCCGUGCCAGCCGCCGCGGUAACAC
rnacentral:rRNA from 1 species